rnacentral:rRNA from 1 species
GACGAACGCUGGCGGCGUGCCUAAUACAUGCAAGUAGAACGCUGAAGGAGGAUCUUGCUCUUCUGGAUGAGUUGCGAACGGGUGAGUAACGCGUAGGUAACCUGCCUUGUAGCGGGGGAUAACUAUUGGAAACGAUAGCUAAUACCGCAUAACAGUAGAUGUUGCAUUACAUUUACUUAAAAGGUGCAGUUGCAUCACUACCAGAUGGACCUGCGUUGUAUUAGCUAGUUGGUGGGGUAACGGCUCACCAAGGCGACGAUACAUAGCCGACCUGAGAGGGUGAGCGGCCAGACUGGGACUGAGACAGGGCCCAGACUCCUACGGGAGGGAGCAGGAGGGGAUCAUCGGCAAUGGACGGAAGUCUGACCGAGGAAGGCCGCGUGAGUGAAGAAGGUUUUCGGAUCGUAAAGGUCUGUUGUAAGAGAAGAAAGAGUGUGAGAGUGGAAAGUUCACACUGUGACGGUAUCUGACCAGAAAGCGACGGCUAACUACGUG